GCCCCUGUAGCUCAGUGGAUAGAGCACCGGUUUCCUAAACCGGGGGUCGUAAGUUCGAAUCUUACCAGGGGUA
rnacentral:tRNA from 2 species